AUUGACCGCUGGCGGCAGGCCUAACACAUGCAAGUCGAACGAGUGGCGGACGGGUGAGUAAUCUCUGGGAAACUGCCCGAUGGAGGGGGAUAUCUACUGGAACCGGUAGCUAAUACCGCAUCCCAUCGGAUGUGCCCAGAUGGGAUUAGCUAGUAGGUGGGGUAACGGCUAACCUAGGCGACGAUCCCUAGCUGGUCUGAGAGGAUGACCAGCAACACGGGAACUGAGACACGGUCCAGAAGCGUAAGGGAGGCAGCAGUGGGGAAUAUUGCACAAUGGGCGCAAGACGGAUGCAGCCAUGCCGCGUGUAUGAAGAAGGCCUUCGGGUUGUAAAGGACUUUCAGCGAGGAGGCGUUACUCGCAGAAGAAGCACCGGCUAACUCCGUGCCAGCAGCCGCGGUAAUAC
rnacentral:rRNA from 1 species